AUGAAGAAACUCUAUAGCCUGACAUUUUUAUUCGCUCUGGCGGUAUUUUUUCAUUCGUCCGUGUUGCAAGAAAGAAGCCUGACAUGUGUCUUUGCGAGUCAUUGGAGCAGUGGCGGUUUUCAUCGAUCAAAUGCCUUUCGGAGACCGCCGACUACUACUACUAGACGGACAACUACAGCCGCACGCAAAUCGGGACAAUGUGGAUAGGAGGAUCCAACCACAUGAAGAAUCUGGCUAUGGAAAGCUUCAAGCAUAAUUGAAGUGGAAAUAAAAUAUAUUUCACCUUGCA